GUAGGUGGCAAGCGUUGUCCGGAAUUAUUGGGCGUAAAGCGCGCGCAGGCGGUCCUUUAAGUCUGAUGUGAAAGCCCACGGCUCAACCGUGGAGGGUCAUUGGAAACUGGGGACUUGAGUACAGAAGAGGAAAGCGGAAUUCCAAGUGUAGCGGUGAAAUGCGUAGAGAUUUGGAGGAACACCAGUGGCGAAGGCGGCUUUCUGGUCUGUAACUGACGCUGAGGCGCGAAAGCGUGGGGAGCAAACAGGAUUAGAUACCCUGGUAGUCCACGCCGUAAACGAUGAGUGCUAAGUGUUAGGGGGUUUCCCGCCCCCCUUAGUGCUGCAGCUAACGCAUUAAGCACUCCGCCUGGGGGAGUACGGCCGCAAGGCUGA
rnacentral:rRNA from 1 species